rnacentral:rRNA from 14 species
CUCUUACGGCCUGGGUUACACACGUGCUACAAUGGUCGGUACAGAGGGUUGCCAAGCCGCGAGGUGGAGCUAAUCCCAGAAAACCGAUCGUAGUCCGGAUCGCAGUCUGCAACUCGACUGCGUGAAGUCGGAAUCGCUAGUAAUCGCGAAUCAGAAUGUCGCGGUGAAUACGUUCCCGGGUCUUGUACACACCGCCCGUCACACCAUGGGAGUGGGUUGCAAAAGAAGUGG